rnacentral:rRNA from 1 species
UACGGAGGGUGCGAGCGUUGUCCGGAAUCACUGGGCGUAAAGGGCGCGUAGGUGGCCUGUGGAAGUCUGCGGUGAAAGCCCGGCGCUCAACGCCGGGUCGGCCGUGGAUACUCUCGGGCUCGAGCUUACUAGAGGCAGAUGGAAUUCCGGGUGUAGCGGUGGAAUGCGUAGAGAUCCGGAAGAACACCGGUGGCGAAAGCGGCUCUCUGGGACGGUACUGACGCUGAGACGCGAAAGCGUGGGGAGCGAACAGG